rnacentral:rRNA from 1 species
AUUGAACGCUGGCGGCAGGCCUAACACAUGCAAGUCGAGCGGAUGAGGGGUGCUUGCACUCCGAUUCAGCGGCGGACGGGUGAGUAAUGCCUAGGAGUCUGCCCGAUAGUGGGGGACAACGUUUCGAAAGGAACGCUAAUACCGCAUACGUCCUACGGGAGAAAGUGGGGGCUCUUCGGACCUCACGCUAUCGGAUGAGCCUAGGUCGGAUUAGCUAGUUGGUGGGGUAAAGGCUCACCAAGGCGACGAUCCGUAACUGGUCUGAGAGGAUGAUCAGUCACACUGGAAAUGAGACACGGUCCAGACUCCUACGGGAGGCAGCAGUGGGGAAUAUUGGACAAUGGGCGAAAGCCUGAUCCAGCCAUGCCGCGUGUGUGAAGAAGGUCUUCGGAUUGUAAAGCACUUUAAGUCGGGAGGAAGGGCUGCAGGUUAAUACCCUGCAGUCUUGACGUUACCGACAGAAUAAGCACCGGCUAACUUCGUGCCAGCCGCCGCGGUAAGAC